GCUCAACCGAGGAAGUGCUUCGAAAACUGGUAAACUUGAGUGCAGAAGAGGAAAGUGGAACUCCAUGUGUAGCGGUGGAAUGCGUAGAUAUAUGGAAGAACACCAGUGGCGAAGGCGGCUUUCUGGUCUGUAACUGACGCUGAGAUUCGAAAGCAUGGGUAGCAAACAGGAUUAGAUACCCUGGUAGUCCAUGCCGUAAACGAUGAGUGCUAAGUGUUGGAGGGUUUCCGUCCUUCAGUGCUGCAGCUAACGCAUUAAGCACUCCGCCUGGGGAGUACGAUCGCAAGAUUGAAACUCAAAGGAAUUGACGGGGGCCCGCACAAGCGGUGGAGCAUGUGGUUUAAUUCGAAGCAACGCGAAGAACCUUACCAGGUCUUGACAUACCAUGAAAAGCUAAGAGAUUAGUCUUUCCCUUCGGGGACAUGGAUACAGGUGGUGCAUGGUUGUCGUCAGCUCGUGUCGUGAAAUGUUGGGUUAAGUCCCGCAACGAGCGCAACCCUUAUUAUCAGUUGCCAGCAUUCAGUUGGGCACUCUGGUGAGACUGCCGGUGACAAACCGGAGGAAGGUGGGGACGACGUCAAAUCAUCAUGCCCCUUAUGACCUGGGCUACACACGUGCUACAAUGGUCGGUACAACG
rnacentral:rRNA from 1 species